AGGGCGCAAGCGUUGUCCGGAAUUAUUGGGCGUAAAGAGCUCGUAGGCGGUUUGUCACGUCUGCUGUGAAAUCCCGAGGCUCAACCUCGGGCCUGCAGUGGGUACGGGCAGACUAGAGUGUGGUAGGGGAGACUGGAAUUCCUGGUGUAGCGGUGGAAUGCGCAGAUAUCAGGAGGAACACCAAUGGCGAAGGCAGGUCUCUGGGCCACAACUGACGCUGAGGAGCGAAAGCAUGGGUAGCGA
rnacentral:rRNA from 1 species